GAUGAACGCUGGCGGCGUGCUUAAUACAUGCAAGUCGAGCGAACAGAUGAUGAGUUUGCUUCUCUGACGUUUGCGGCGGACGGGUGAGUCACACGUGGAUAACCUACCUAUAUGUCUGGGAUAACCUCGGGAAACCGGAGCUAAUACCGGAUAAUAUAUUGACCCGCAUGGUUCAAUAGUGAAAGACGUUUGUGUUUUCACUUAUACAUGGAUUCGCGCCGCAUUAGCUAGUUGGUAAGGUAACGGCUUACCAAGGCAACGAUGCGUAGCCGAGCUGAGAGGGUGGUCGGCCACACUGGAACGUGGACGCGGUCCAGGCUCCUACGGGAGGGAGCAGUAGGGAAUGUGCCGCAAUGGGCGAGAGCCUUGCGGAACAACGCCGCGUGAGUGAUGAAGGUCUUCGGAUCGUAAAGCUCUGUUAUUAGGGAUGAACAAAUGUGUAAGUAGAUAUACACGUCUUGACGGUACCUGAUCAGAAAGCAACGGCUAACUACGUG
rnacentral:rRNA from 1 species